rnacentral:rRNA from 1 species
CCCUUAGAUGUCCUGGGCUGCACGCGCGCUACACUGAUGUAUUCAACAAGUGUUACCUUGACCGAGAGGCCUAGGAAAUCUUUUAAAAGUGCAUCGUGAUAGGAAUAGAUUAUUGCAAUUUUUAAUCUUGAACGAGGAAUUCCUAGUAAACGCAGAUCAUCAAUCUGCAUUGAUUACGUCCCUGCCCUUUGUACACACCGCCCGUCGCACCUACCGAUUGAAUGGUCCGGUGAAGCCUCGGGAUUGUAGCAAUCUACCUUUAUUGGUGGUUUGUUGCAGGAACUUGUCUAAACCUUAUCAUUUAGAGGAAGGUGAAGUCGUAACA